UUUGAUGGAGGAAAAUGAAUGGUAAGAGC
rnacentral:piRNA from 1 species